rnacentral:tRNA from 3 species
AAGAAGCUAGUUUAAAUAAAACAUUUAAUUGUCAAAUAAAAAAUACACAAAAUGUGCAUCUUG